GUCCUCGUAGCUCAGUCGGAAGAACACCCGACUAUGAUGCGGUAGGAUUCGGGUUCGAACCCAGAUGAAGGGUG